AGGUGCGGGCAACCGCUGCUCCGCGCGCCGCGCGGGGUAGAGGAAAGUCCCGGCUCGCCCGGGCUGCGAUGCCCGGAGUGUUCGGGCCCGCCGUAAGGCGGGGCGGGGAUCCUCCCCGACGGCGGUGAAAGGGACUCCCGGAGUCCCGAGUAGCCUGAAAGUGCCACAGUGACGCAGCCUUCCGGCGACGGAAGGGUGAAACGCGGUAAACCCCCCGAGCGAGAAACCCAAAAUUUGGUAGGGGAACCCUCCGGAGGGAAAUGAACCGAAGGAGGGAUCGGACGCGUACGCGUCCGAUAGAUAGAUGGUUGCCGCUUCCGUGCGAGGGGUGGCGUCCCGUUUGCAGCACGGAAGUACAGAACCGGGCUUACAGCA
rnacentral:RNase_P_RNA from 1 species